rnacentral:rRNA from 1 species
UCGUCGGUACGAUCAGCGUCGGCAAUAUCAUUUUUGGUAAAUCUCUGGCUGCUCAUUCAUUUGGGCAGUUAUAAAAGGCGCUUGGGGUCAAACUCAGGUGUCGGGGUUACCAAUCUUUUACUGUGAAGAAACUUGAGUGUUCAAAGCAAGCAUUCUUAUGCCUGAAAAAUUCAGCAUGGGAUAAUGAAAUAGGCUUACGCGUCUAUUUUUGCCGGUUUUCGGACUUUUUGCGUGAGAAUGGUCGAUAGGGGCGGUCGGGGACACUCGUACCCAGCGGUCAGAGGUGAAAUUCUUGGAUUCGCGGGAGACGAACUUAUGCGAAAGCGUUUGUCAAGGACGCUUUCUUUGAUCAAGAACGAAAGUUAGGGGAUCGAAGACGAUCAGAUACCGUCGUAGUCUUAACCUUAAACGAUGCCGACUGUAGAUUAGAAGACGUUAAACGUGUGCUGCUUUAACCGGCAGCACUCAAUGACUCCUCUAGCAUACUGUGAGAAAUCACAAGUGUUUGGGUUCCGGGGGGAG